GCCUUUCUUCCCCACUUUUGUCUUUUGUGGUCUGAAAAAGCUGUCAAAUUUCUUUCCUCAUCUGCAGUUUCUUAGUGGGUUUUGUGUGUGUGUGUGUCUGGGGAGGGGUUUCAUCCAUUCUAUUACCACAUGCAGCGCAGUGAUGCCAUAUUUCUAGUUCUAAUGCAUAUUUUCCCUAACUCAAGCUGUCAUCUAGCGAUUACUUUUUGUCAUGGAGUAAGUUUUAAACAAGUAUCAUGAUGUUUCCUGCCUAGUCGUGAAAGGAUCAGAGCGUGCCUUUGUUUCUGCUCUCUAUUUGUGUACCACAAACCAGGUUGUAUGGGACUUCUCUACCCCAAAGCUUGGGCAGUCAUCAUGACAGAGAACUGCGAGAGCCAGGAGAAUGCAUCUGGACCGUGGCUGCUUGGAGACACAGGAGUGGGGAACUCAAAAUUGAGGGGAAUGUGGUGGAAUUAGGCUCAAGGAUUGGUUCAAGUGCCAAAGGACCCUGCAGAAGAUCAAGUAUUCAGAAGAACAGCCAUUUUCUAGCUGGGGAGCCCUGCUGAUCUGGCUACAAGAGCUUCCAGCACUAUUCCAGUCUUCAUUAACUCAUCACAUACAAUACAAAGAAGUGAAUUGCACUGGAUUAGUCAAAUGUCUGCAUGGAUUUAUAAGGAAUGAGAGAUCCACGCAGAAUGUUCUUGUGGGCUUAAAGAAGAACCUCUGACGAAGCAGAAAGCUAUAAGUUUGAGGGGGAAAAAAGAGAAGAGAGAGGCUGGGUAUAAAAUAGCGACCAUCAACCAUCCCUAAUGUUCAUUAAUGUUCCUGAAUGGAGCUCAGCAGCAAAGCUGGGCUGCUGUUGGUUGAUGAAGAGCCUUUCCUCUGAGGGUGUGGAUUCUGAAAAACACCACUAGAAAAAUGCAGGCAUACUUGUAUAUAUGUAUAUAUCCAUGCCAUGCCAACUUGGAUGUGUUUGCCAGUUAUUUGAUUCGGUGUGGGGAGGACUUCAUCCCGUGUCAGUACUCACGGUCUUAAAUGGGAGCACUUUACCCUACUUAUUUGUUUUUUAACUUCUGAAGGAAUGACUGAAAACUCAUCCAAAGUCAUGAACGCCUGUGGGCAUUCCCUGGAAGAAUUCCCUUCAUGCCUGGCACAGUGUGUCCCAAAGUGAUGCUAACCCCUAGAUGUUGAAGAGGAGGAUGACAUCACACAGCUCUGGUUGAAGCCAUCUGCUCAUGGUGCUGAACUGGAAGGUGAGCUCCUGCAGAAACGCGGCCCUCGUUGAGAGUAUUGAGCUUUGCUGAAAGUCCUGACUCUUUUCCACAUUCACAAGGACAGCCUUACAAUGCAAAGCCUCUCCUUGGCAUAAGGACAGAUGCAAGCUUAUAACAGUAUGCACUUAGUUAUAGAGGUAAUUUUAUUUGCCUUUGUUAGAAUCUUUAAUAUAAAACUCAGUAAAAUGACCUCUCUAAUAAAAAUGGCUCAGAGAAAUAACAAUAAACAGGUUUUAUGAUACGGAAGAUGCAUUUAAAAAAUCCUGCUAAGGAAAAUGAUCUUAGGAGUCUCAAGAAAAUAUUAAUAUGAAAGGAGAGACUUUUUCCCUAUCCGCUACAAUCAAAGAUGGGUGGUCUGCAUGCCACGUGAGCUUCCUUGCUCCAGCUCUUGUGGGCAGGAGGAGGGGAAGCUGUACUCUAUCUCAGUAAUGAACUCUGACUGUCCAGGAAAGCAUUUAUUUUUGCAAAAUUAAAAAGGGGGGGAGUCAAUGGAUCUGUUUAUAGCUAUAUAAAAAGGCAGAAAAGUUAAUGCUAACAUAUGUUGCUUCAUGUUCCCAGAGCAAAAACAUUUGCAGGAUAAUAUCCCGGAGCGCAGGUGGUAAGCGAUCAAUACUCUUAUUUGUUUUUAAGGGAUGGCAGAACUGCUCACCUAUAGGAGUUGCAGUGAAUGCGUAGAACCCCUACGGACACAUGGCAUUAAUGUACGGGUGUUGUAGGCGUUUUAUUACAUAGACUUCAGGAGUUGGCACUCAGCUACCAGGAUCUCUAUAGCUUUUGUUCAGUGGGAGGUGUCCAUACCAAGCACAGUUCUAGAUCCUAAUGGGGUGGAAGGACAUGUGCCACAGGGGAAUCCAUGGAAAAUUGAAUCAUGGUCGUGUCUUCUGCUGGCUGAGCAGGUUUCUUCUGUUAUCUAGCAUGAAUCACAUCCAAUUCCAGUGUCACAUCUCUAGAAAAUGAUGAAAAUGCUUUCUUUCUCCUGCUUAUUGAUACAGGAUGUUUAGGUCAGGAAUAGACUCCUGGCCUGAGCUUUUAGACUGCAUGGCCCCAGAGCUGCAAACUCAUGUAGCUAACCAUGCACUACCACUAUGAUGAUAUCCAGAGAUGUCAUCUCUCUUUACGGAUCUACACAGACUGUAGAUUUUUCUUCAGGGAUACAUGCCCCUAGAGAUAAAUCUUCCUCUCUUUAAUCCAAAACAUCCAACUGGCAAUUACUUGCAUCUCACAAAGAUUUCACUGGAAGUGACCUUUGGUGGUUUUGGGACAAAACGUGAACCUUUCAUCUUUCCCGUGGCUGUAAGUGAUCAGAUAGAGGCAAAACCCUAUUUCCUGCCUUCCCAUACCUGCUGAGAGGGAGCCGGGGGGCUGCUGGUGUGAGAUCACCAUCUUUCAGAGGACAGCAAAAUGCUUUAUGAAGACUGUGAUCUAAAUACAGAUGAGAUAGCUGGCAAGGCUCCAGCUAUUGCUUCAGGACCUUGUAUAUCUUCUCUGCCUUCAGGACCCAGGUGUUGCCAGUUACCGCCAGUAUUCCUGACGUCAGAUAUGGUUUCUUCCAUUCAUGAGGCCAACGGAACAGUUGACCACAAAGAGUCUAACCCUAGGUGUUUUGUUUGAGAGACAUGUAGUACUUUUUUUCCAUAGAGAGGGAAGGUACUUUGUGCUCACUGUACUGGGCCUUCAGUUCGCUUUCUCAUUCAGACCAGGGCCAGGUAAGCCAAGAUAAACUGGGAACUCUGGAAGUGUAGGCCCUCUUCUUCCCAUUGUCCCCAGACUAGAAGAUGGUCUGGUGGUUCAAGCUGGGUUAUGCUGGGCCCCUGCCUGCUUUUUCUUGGACUUGUGCAUAUUAAUGUUUCCAUCGAGCACUUUGAUCAUUGGCAAACUGUUCUCUGCCAGCAUUGUUCCAUCAGAGAGUUUGAAAGCUCAUCUUGAGAGAAGAUUAACUAAUAAUCAGUGAUGCUUUUGUUACAUGCAUUCCCACAAGACCCACUGCUGGUGACUUGACUGAAAACAUGAAUGAAUUGAGCUUUACUCCACGUCUGCGAGUUAGAGAAAUAUGUCAUUUUAACUUUUUCAGUAACAUAAGCAGUUUUUCAGAACAUUAAACUCACUGGACACAACACAACUAGAGAGUUUUGCUGUUUUCCUCCAGCUGCUAACAGAGCUAAAUGUUUUCCCAGUGUAAAUAGCAGGGCCAUGGAUGGGGUCAGCUCCCCUCCAGCCCCACUCUGUGUCAUGGCCGUGCAAACGCCACCUGAGCAAUUCUCCUUGGACUGCAUUGUAGUAAAGAACAUCGGGAAAAUGAUUCCAAAAUUGAAGGCUAUCCUGAUGUCUUUACUAGCAAUAUCUGUUUUUAAAUUGAGUGAGCUCUGGCUUGUGUCUCUAUCUGUUCCAGCUGCAGAAUUAUGGCUGGAGGACAGAGGCACUCUCCUGGGUGUGAAAUAUUGCAAGGAGGGAGUGCAUUCCGAACACAGGGGUGGCCUGGCAGAGGAGGGUACCAUGGAGAAGUGGUUAGACCCAGAAAGAAGCUGAACGUUAGAUCUGCAAACACGUUUCAAGUUCUCUGGUUUUGAGAAAACUUCCUAGGGUUUUAAUUCAUCGUUUCUCUUGUUUUUGCAGCAAGAACAACUGUGGUUACCUCACUGCUCUGGCUCUGUGCUGACAGAGGGCACUGGGGAGAGAUCUAUCACUGCUGAUGUUGAGGCUUUGCCGAUAACCUCUGCCCGGGGCUGGGUGAAGCUACAAACGCUGCCCAGUCUUCGGAGGUACAGGACCAGUCUGUCAGGCUGUUGGCACACAACAACAAUUGUUUUAUUGUCAGACAAUCAUGGUCAUCUGCAAGGAAUCAGUUUUCAAAGAAGCAUUUGACGGACUGACACCCACUGGAGCCGGGGACAAGAUGAAAUGCUCCGAUUCAAAGCAGAUUAGGACUUGCUGUUCUGGAAAUCAAGUGAGUUUUGAAGAGGCUGAUGAAGCUCAAUUUCAAAACUAUCAAUCUGGUUUUUAAAAUGUGUUGGGAUCCAGACUGGCUAUAGCAAAAUAGAGUUUUACACCAUACAGUGGUCAUCCCUAUUUGACAACGGUGGAAGACUGUGACUGUACAAUAGCUAUUGAUAAUCCUUCUAUAAAGGACUAAUGCCUACUGAGUGACACGGGGCAUUGCUCUCAACACGGGAUAUAUGCUUCCAAGGUACCUGCUCUGCGAGGACCACAGCCAGCUGAGAACUGAAAGCUAUGGGAGAGCGUGGCAUGCUUUGUAGAGAGGGCAACAGUAAGGAGAAAUGCUAAACAUAUUAGACAAAUCAUCUCUUCUUUCAUUGAACAACUCCAGCCAUGACCUCUGAUCCUCUUGGUAAAAGCUGAAUUUAAUUUCUGCUGUCCCCCACCCAAUAUUUCUUGUGCAUUUGCUAUAUAGCUUCCUGCAAUCCCAUUUAUUGCUCUCCAGAGCUCACAGAAUGUUUGCUUCCUGCAAACUUCGAUUUAUAUUUUUGCCAUUAACUGUAGAUACUCUUUUGUUUGCACACUUAGAGAACUUUCAGUAUUAAGUUUCAAUGUGUUAACAUGGAAUAAACUGGAAAGAAACUAUUUCUUGGUUGGAAUUGAUCAGGUCCUCAGCUGAAUGGUCACAUUUCAGGUUGUUGGAAUUACACAGAGGCAGCUCUUGCGUUUUCCAUUGGUUGAGCUGUCUUUACUGCAUAUCCAGGUUCAGAAGCAGCAAAGCCUUGGGUUUGGAUUUCCUUUUUCAUUUGUUCCCUUGAGGAAUGCUGG
ensembl:lncRNA